GUGCUCGCUUCGGCACACAUGUACUAAAAUUAGAACGAUACAGAGGUCAGCAUGGCCCCUGCAUAGGGAGGACACGCAAAUCCGUGAAGACCGGUACUCUGAU
ensembl:snRNA U6 U6 spliceosomal RNA